rnacentral:rRNA from 1 species
GAUGAACGCUGGCGGCGUGCCUAAUACAUGCAAGUCGAGCGAACGGAUGAGAAGCUUGCUUUUCUGAUGUUAGCGGCGGACGGGUGAGUAACACGUGGAUAACCUACCUAUAAGACUGGGAUAACUUCGGGAAACCGGAGCUAAUACCGGAUAAUAUUUUGAACCGCAUGGUUCAAAAGUGAAAGACGGUCUUGCUGUCACUUAUAGAUGGAUCCGCGCUGCAUUAGCUAGUUGGUAAGGUAACGGCUUACCAAGGCAACGAUGCAUAGCCGACCUGAGAGGGUGAUCGGCCACACUGGAACUGAGACACGGUCCAGACUCCUACGGGAGGCAGCAGUAGGGAAUCUUCCGCAAUGGGCGAAAGCCUGACGGAGCAACGCCGCGUGAGUGAUGAAGGUCUUCGGAUCGUAAAACUCUGUUAUUAGGGAAGAACAUAUGUGUAAGUAACUGUGCACAUCUUGACGGUACCUAAUCAGAAAGCCACGGCUAACUACGUG